AGUGAACGCUGGCGGUAUGCCUAACACAUGCAAGUCGAACGGCAGCACAGUAAGAUCUUGCUCUUACGGGUGGCGAGUGGCGGACGGGUGAGGAAUACAUCGGAAUCUACUUUUUCGUGGGUGAUAACGUAGGGAAACUUACGCUAAUACCUCAUACGACCUACGGGUGAAAUCAGGGGAGCUUCGGACCUUUCGCGAUUGAAUGAGCCGAUGUCGGAUUAGCUAGUUUGCGGGGUAAAGUCCCACCAAGGCGACGAUACGUAGCUGGUCUGAGAGGAUGGUCAGCCACACUGGAACUGAGACACGGUCCAGACUUACAGGGGAGGGAGCAGUGGGGACUAUUGGAAAAGGGGAGAAAGUCUGAUCGAGCCAUACCGCGUGGGUGAAGAAGGCCUUGGGGUUGUAACGCCCUUUUGUUGGGAAAGAAAAGCAGCAGGUUAAUACCCAGAUGUUCUGACGGCACAAAAAGAAUAAGAACCGGAUAACUUUG
rnacentral:rRNA from 1 species